rnacentral:rRNA from 1 species
AGACGCUGGCGGCAUGCUUUACCAUGCAAGUCGAACGGCAGCACGGACUUCGGUCUGGUGGCGAGUGGCGAACGGGUGAGUAAUACAUCGUGAACGUGCCUAGUAGUGGGGGAUAACUACUCGAAAGAGUAGCUAAUACUGCAUGAGAUCUACGGAUGAAAGCAGGGGACCCUCGGGCCUUGUGCUACUAGAGCGGCUGAUGGCAGAUUAGGUAGUUGGUGGGAUAAAAGCUUACCAAGCCUGUGAUCUGUAGCUGGUCUGAGAGGACGACCAGCCACACUGGGACUGAGACACGGCCCAGACUCCUACCGGAGGCAGCAGUGGGGAAUUUUGGACAAUGGGCGAAAGCCUGAUCCAUGAAUGCCGCGUGCAGGAUGAAGGCCCUCGGGUUGUAAACUGCUUUUGUACGGAACGAAAAGCCUGAAGCUAAUAUCCUCGGGUCAUGACGGUACCCUAAGAAUAAGCACCGGCUAACUACGUGCCAGCAGCCGCGGUAAUACGUAGGGUGCAAGCGUUAAUCGGAAUUACUGGGUCGUAAAGCGUGCGCAGGCGGUUUUGUAAGACAGUGGUGAAAUCCCCGGGCUCAACCUGGGAACUGCCAUUGUGACUGCAAAGCUGGAGUGCGGCAUAGGGGGAAUGGAAUUCCGCGUGUAGCAUUGAAAUGCGUAGAUCUGCGGAGGAACACCGAUCGCGAAUGCCAUCCCCUGGGCCUGCACUGACGCUCAUGCACGAAAGCGUGGGGAGCAAACAGGAUUAGA